AUGUCAGCCACCCUUACCUCUCAUGCGACUGGGUCGUCGCCGGUGAGCCCGCAUCAACACUCCCGUGUUGCCAGGCCCCCCUGCUCACUCCUCCGAUUGGGGCGUCACCGGCGUGCCCGCCGCUGGCAGCUUCGCCCCCCUCCCCUCCUCUCCUUCUCUCUCCCCAGCACCUCCUCCUCAGGUUCUCCUGCAUCGGCCGCCGUCUGCAUCAACACCGCCUCCCGACGAGCAGAGCCCCGCUGUGGCCCUCCACCAUUCUCCCGCUCCUCUCACCCUCCUGAAUCUACCCACCUCCUGCUCCCGCUCUCGCACGAGCCGCCAUGGCUACAGCUCGGCAGAAGCGCGCGCCGCCAUGACACACGGCCCCCAAGAAGAGACCUAUCGCGAGACACAUAG
rnacentral:rRNA from 1 species